ACCGACUCUCUUUUCGGACUCAGUCCGCCUGCACCCGGGUGAAAUAAACAGCCAUGUUGCUCACACAAAGCCUGUUUGGUGGUCUCUUCACACGGACGUGCAUGAAAUUUGGUGCCGUGACUCGGAUCGGGGGACCUCCCUUGGGAGAUCAAUCCCCUGUCCUCCUGUUCUUUGCUCCACGAGAAAGAUCCACCUACGACCUCAGGUCCUCAGACUGACCAGCCCAAGGAACAUCUCACCAAUUUUAAAUCAGAUCCAUCUGACCUCUCCCUUCCUCCCCAGGCUGCUCCUCGCCAGGCCGAGCUAGGUCCCAAUUCUUCCUCAGCCUCUGCUCCUCCACCCUAUAAUCUUUUCAUCACCUCCCCUCCUCACACCUGGUCUGGCUUACAGUUUCGUUCCAUGACUAGCCCUCCCCCUCCUGCCCAGCAAUUUACUCUUAAAAAGGUGGCUGGAGCCAAAGGCAUAGUCAACUUUAAUGCUCCUUUUUCUUUAUCCCAAAUCAGAUAGCGUUUAGGCUCUUUUUCAUCAAAUAUAAAAAUCCAGCCCAGUUCAUGACUUGUUUGGCAGCAACCCUGAGACACUUUACAGCCCUAGACCCUAAAAGGUCAAAAGGCCGUCUUAUUCUCAAAAUACAUUUUAUUACCCAAUCUGCUCCAGACAUUAAAUAAAACUCCAAAAAUUAAAUUCCGGCCCUCAAACCCCACAACAGGAUUUAAUUAACCUCGCCUUCAAGGUGUACAAUAAUAGAAAAAUGUUGCAAUUCCUUGCCUCCACUGUGAGACAAACCCCAGCCACAUCUCCAGCACACAGGAACUUCCAAAUGCCUGAACCGCAGCGGCCAGGCUCCUCCAGAACCUCCUCCCACAGGAGCUUGCUACAUGUGCCAGAAAUCUGGCCACUGGGCCAAGGAAUGCCUGCAGCCCGGGAUUCCUCCUAAGCCGUGUCCCAUCUGUGUGGGACCCCACUGAAAAUCGGACUGUUCAACUCACCUGGCAGCCACUCCCAGAGCCCCUGGAACUCUGGCCCAAGGCUGACUGACUCCUUCCCAGAUCUUCUCGGCUUAGCGGCUGAAGACUGACACUGCUUGAUCGCCUCGGAAGCCCCCUAGACCAUCACAGACGCCGAGCUUCCGGUAACUCUCACAGUGGAAGGUAAGCCCGUCCCCUUCUUAAUCAAUACGGAGGCUACCCACUCCACAUUACCUUCUUUUCAAGGGCCUGUUUCCCUUGCCUCCAUAACUGUUGUGGGUAUUGACGGCCAGGCUUCUAAACCUCUUAAAACUCCCCAACUCUGGUGCCAACUUAGACAAUACUCUUUUAAGCACUCCUUUUUAGUUAUCCCCACCUGCCCAGUUCCCUUAUUAGGCUGAGACACUUUAACUAAAUUGUCUGCUUCCCUGACUAUUCCUGGACUACAGCUAUAUCUCAUUGCCGCCCUUCUUCCCAAUCCAAAGCCUCCUUUGCGUCCUCCUCUUGUAUCCCCCCACCUUAACCCACAAGUAUAAGAUACCUCUACUCCCUCCUUGGCGACCAAUCAUGCACCCGUUACCAUCUCAUUAAAACCUAAUCACCCUUACCCCACUCAACGCCAAUAUCCCAUCCCGCAGCAUGCUUUAAAAAGAUUAAAGCCUGUUAUCACUUGCCUGCUACAGCAUGGCCUUUUAAAGCCUAUAAACUCUCCUUACAAUUCCCCCAUUUUACCUGUCCUAAAACCGGACGAGCCUUACAAGUUAGUUCAGGAUCUGCGCCUUAUCAACCAAAUUGUUUUGCCUAUCCACCCCGUAGUGCCAAACCCAUAUACUCUCCUAUCCUCAGUACCUGCCUCUAUAACCUAUUAUUCUGUUCUAGAUCUCAAACAUGCUUUCUUUACUAUUCCUUUGCACCCUUAAUCCCAGCCUCUCUUCACUUUCACUUGGACUGACCCUGACACCCAUCAAGCUCAGCAAGUUACCUAGGCUGUACUGCCGCAAAGCUUCACAGACAGCCCCUAUUACUUCAAUCAAGCCCAAAUUUCUUCCUCAUCUGUUACCUAUCUCAGCAUAAUUCUCAUAAAAACACACGUGCUCUCCCUGCCAAUCAUGUCCGACUAAUCUCUCAAACCCAAGCACCUUCUACAAAACAACAACUCCUUUCCUUCCUAGGCAUGGUUAGCGUGGUCAGAAUUCUUACACAAGAGCCAGGACCGCACCCUGUAGCCUUUCUGUCCAAACAACUUGACCUUACUGUUUUAGCCUAGCCCUCAUGUCUGCGUGCAGCGGCUCCCGCUGCUUUAAUACUUUUAGAGGCCCUCAAAAUCACAAACUAUGCUCAACUCACUCUCUACAGUUCUCAUAACUUCCAAAAUCUAUUUUCUUCCUCAUACCUGACGCACAUACUUUCUGCUCCCCGGCUCCUUCAGCUGUACCCACUCUUUGUUGAGUCUCCCACAAUUACCGUUGUUCCUGGCCCAGACUUCAAUCCGGCCUCCCACGUUAUUCCUGAUACCACACCUGACCCCCAUGACUGUAUCUCUCUGAUCCAUCUGACAUUCACCCCAUUUCCCCAAAUUUCCUUCUUUCCUCUUCCUCACCCUGAUCACGCUUGAUUUAUUGUUGGCGGUUCCACCAGGCCUAAUCACCACACACCAGCAAAGGCAGGUUAUGCUAUAGUACAAGCCACUAGCCUGCCUCUUAGAACCUCUCAUUUCCUUUCCAUCGUGGAAAUCGAUCCUCAAGGAAAUAACUUCUCAGUGUUCCAUCUGCUAUUCUAGUACUCCUCAGGGAUUAUUCAGGCCCCCUUCCUUCCCUACACACCAAGCUCAAGGAUUUGCCCCACCCAGGACUGGCAAAUUAGCUUUACUCAACAUGCCCUGAGUCAGAUAACUAAAAUACCUCUUAGUCUAGGUAGAUACUUUCACUGGAUAGGUAGAGGCCUUUCCUACAGGGUCUGAGAAGGCCACCGCAGUCAUUUCUUCCCUUCUGUCAGACAUAAUUCCUCAGUUUAGCCUUCCCACCUCAAUACAGUCUGAUAACAGACAAGCAUUUAUUAGUCAAAUCAGCCAAGCAGUUUUUCAGGCUCUUAGUAUUCAGUGAAACCUUUAUGUCCCUUAUGGUCCUCUGUCUUCAAGAAAAGUAGAAUGGACUAAAGGUCUUUUAAAAACACACUCAGCCACCAACUUAAAAAGGACUGGACAAUACUUUUACCACUUUCCCUUCUCAGAAUUCAGGCCUGUCCUCGGAAUGCUGCAGGGUACAGCGCAUUUGAGCUCCUGUAUAGACACUCCUUUUUAUUAGGCCCCAGUCUCAUUCCAGACACCAGACCAACUUACACUGUGCCGCAAAAAACUUGUCAUCCCUACUAUCUUCUGUCUAGUCAUACUCCUAUUCACCAUUCUCAACUACUCAUACAUGCCCUGCUCUUGUUUACACUGCCGGUUUACACUGUUUUUCCAUGCCAUCACAGCUGAUAUCUCCUGGUGCUAUCCCCAAACUGCCACUCUUAACUCUUGAAGUAAAUAAAUAAUCUUUGCUGGCAGGACUAUGCUGAAUCUCCUUAGGCACUCUCUAAUCAGAUAUCCUGAGUCGUCCCAAUUCUUAGACCUUUUAUACCUGUUUUUCUCCUUCCUUUAUUCCAUUUAGUUUCUCAAUUCAUCCAAAUCCAUAUCUAGGCCAUCACCAAUCAUUCUAUAUGACAAAUGUUUCUUCUAACAUCCCCACAAUAUCACCCCUUACCACAA
rnacentral:lncRNA from 1 species